ensembl:lncRNA
ACAUACAUACAUGUUACAUACAUACAGGUUACAUACAUACAGGUUACAUACAUACAGGUUACAUACAUACAUGUUACAUACUUACAGGUUACAUACAUACAGGUUACAUACAGGUUACAUACAUACAGGUCACAUACAUACAGGUCACAUACAUACAGGUUACAUACAUACAGGUUACAUACAGGUUACAUACAUACAGGUUACAUACAUACAGGUUACAUACAGGUUACAUACAUACAGGUUACAUACAGGUUACAUACAUACAGGUUACAUACAGGUUACAUACAUACAGGUUACAUACAUACAGGUUACAUACAUACAGGUUACAUACAUACAGGUUACAUACAUACAUGUUACAUACAUACAUGUUACAUACAUACAGGUU